rnacentral:rRNA from 1 species
GUUGAACGCUGGCGGCGUGCCUAAUACAUGCAAGUCGAGCGGACGGAUAAGGCUCUUGCUCGUUUUACGUUGGGGGCGGGCGGGUGAUUUACACGUGUAUGACCGGCCUAUAGGGCUGGGGUACCUUCGGGGGACCUGAUCUAGUAUCCGUUAAGAUAUUGAACGGCAUGGUUCUUUGGACCAAACGCUCUUUGCUGAGACUAGUAGGGGUUACCUCGUCGUAUUAGCUAGUUGGUAAGGUAACGGCCUACCAAGGCAACGAUCCGUAACUGACCUGAGAGGGUGAUCGGCCACACUGGAACUGAGACACGGUCCAGACUCCUACGGGAGGCAGCAGUAGGGAAUAUUGCGCAAUGGGCGAAAGCCUGACGCAGCAACGCCGCGUGUGUGAUGAAGGUCUUCGGAUCGUAAAGCUCUGUUAUCAGGGAAGAAGGACUGUAUAAUUAACUGUGCACAUCUUGACGUUACCUACACAGAAAGCACCGGCUAACUUCGUG